rnacentral:rRNA from 2 species
CCCGGCACAAGCGGUGGAGCAUGUGGUUUAAUUCGAAGCAACGCGAAGAACCUUACCAGGUCUUGACAUCCCGAUGCUAUUUCUAGAGAUAGAAAGUUACUUCGGUACAUCGGUGACAGGUGGUGCAUGGUUGUCGUCAGCUCGUGUCGUGAGAUGUUGGGUUAAGUCCCGCAACGAGCGCAACCCUUGUCUUUAGUUGCCAUCAUUAAGUUGGGCACUCUAAAGAGACUGCCGAUGACAAAUCGGAGGAAGGUGGGGAUGACGCCAAAUCAUCAUGCCCUUUAUGUCCUGGGCUACACACGUGCUACAAUGGUCGGUACAACGAGAAGCAAGUCAGCGGUGGCAAGCAAAUCUCUAAAAGCCGAUCCCAGUUCGGAUUGCAGGCUGCAACUCGCCUGCAUGAAGUCGGAGUUGCUAGUAAUCGCGGAUCAGAAUGCCGCGGUGAAUGCGUUCCCGGGUCUU